rnacentral:rRNA from 1 species
GAACGAACGCUGGCAGCGUGGAUUAGGCAUGCAAGUCGAACGGGAUCCGGUAGGCAGCAAUGUCGGCCGGUGAGAGUGGCGGAAGGGCGAGGAACACGUGGGUAACCUGUCUUGAGGUGGGGAAAACCGCUGGAAACGGCGGCUAAUACCGAAUGUAGCGCCCGCUCGCAUGAGCGGAGCGCCAAAGGGGGCGAAAGCUCCCCCUCUUCGAGGGGCCCGCGCACCAUCAGCUUGUUGGCGGGGUAACGGCCCACCAAGGCUCACGGUUAGCUGGUCUGAGAGGAUGGCCAGCCGCACUGGGACUGAGAUACUGCCCAGACUCCUACGGGAGGCUGCAGUCGAGGAUCAUUUGCAAUGGGCGAAAGCCUGACAAUGCGACGCUGCCGUGGAGGAUGAAGGCCCUCGGGUUGUAAACUCCUGUCAUGGGGGAAAAGGAAACCCUGCCCAAUACGCAGGGAAUUUGAUGGUACCCCAAGAGGAAGCGACGGCUAACUCUGUGCCAGCCGCGGC